CCUACGGGAGGCAGCAGUGGGGAAUAUUGCGCAAUGGGGGAAACCCUGACGCAGCAACGCCGCGUGAGUGAGGAAGGACUUCGGUCUGUAAAGCUCUGUUAAUGUGGAAAAAUGGUAGUUGGUCUAAUAGGCCGAUUAUUUGAUGGUACACAUAGAGGAAGCACCGGCUAACUUCGUGCCAGCAGCCGCGGUAAUACGAAGGGUGCAAGCGUUGUUCGGAUUUAUUGGGCGUAAAGCGCGCGUAGGCGGACCUGUAAGUCAGAUGUGAAAUCUCGGGGCUCAACCUCGAAACUGCGUCUGAAACUGCAGGUCUAGAAUCUCGGAGGGGGAAGGGGAAUUUCGCAUGUAGGGGUAAAAUCCGUAGAUAUGCGAAGGAACACCAGAGGCGAAGGCGCCUUCCUGGACGAGUAUUGACGCUGAGGCGCGAAAGCGUGGGGAUCAAACAGGAUUAGAUACCCUGGUAGUCCACGCUGUAAACUAUGAACACUAGGUAUUGGAGGAUUUGACCCCUUCAGUGCCGUAGCUAACGCGUUAAGUGUUCCGCCUGGGAAGUACGGUCGCAAGACAAAACUCAAAUGAAAUUGACGG
rnacentral:rRNA from 1 species